CCGCCAGACGUUACAGUCGGUGCAAGGCAACGGUGUGUUCAUCAGAGAUGAUAACAAAUUCAUCUUCACCAAAGUUCAGGUUGGGCAACGGGCCACGGCUCGCUUCAAGAUCUCUAAUGGCAGCAGUGUCCCAUGUGACGUGGUCCUCUCCAUCAAAGCCAUGCCUGGAGAGCCUCACAGCCUCAUCAGCAACAUCUUCAAGCUGGAUCCUGUCGAGAUGAGCAUUCCUGGCUUAUCCCACGCCUUUGCUACAGUGACCUUCACUCCAGAACAAAAGGAGGACUACCAGUGCACUUUCACAGCUUCCCUUGUUAGCCCAAAAAGGUAGUGACCCCGUGAAGUAUUGGGGGGACCGUUCUGGUAGCUGCCUCUCCUCUUGGUGCCUCUAAUGCUUUCAGUGCCCUUAGGCAGAGUACCUGGCAUGAGAUGAUGUAGGAGGCAUUAAGCAUUAGGCAGAGCAGAGCAGGAAAAUGAGGAGGAUACUUCAGGCUGUGUGAGGGACUCUGAAGAGAGGGCCUCAGGUAGCCAGCUGGAAGUUACUGACAAGUGCAACAGCUGAGCUGGGGCUUUCCAAGGCCAAAGGCUCAGAUGAAGCAGUUUCUGUGCCAGCAAGUCAAGAUUUCCUCCAUAUUUCUGUAAAAGGAAGUGAUCCUGUGUGGUUUCCAGGCAUACAUUAAGCUAUUUUUAUAUCAGGGGAGUGACUGGAGCUCUUACCAAAGAGAAGCCCAGUUCCUCUCCCUGGCACCUGUGUACUGGGGCUCUGACCUGCCCUUCCCCAAGUCUUUAGUGGCUGAAUUGGAACAGGGAAGUCAGCUUUCUGCCCUAACAAGCAAUUCCUUCUUUAGGAUCCUUGGAAAUAAUCUUUACUGACGGUGCUGUUGGUUUGGUUUUCCCUUCUUGCUUUCGUACUGUUCUCAUGGUGUGCUUUUGCUUGUUGCAUGUCUCCUAUCACUGCAGCCAGAGGAUUUGCCACGUCUCAUCUGGUGCCUCGUUAUUUAUCUGCUGUAUGGUGUGAUUCAAAUGAGGGAAAUUAUUUAGAACUGUUAUUCUGGAAGGCUCUGGCUGAAAUGGUUUCUGUGCCCACCAGUUCUGCCCUCCCAACAGCGAAACCAGUCCCGCCAGCCAACGGGACUGGUCAAUGCAACAGGAGCCACUGGGAGGGACUGGGAGGGACUGGGUGUCAUUAUCUAGUUAACUAAACCAAGUCCCUUCACUAUGAACCUUAGACAAGGUAAAAGGGAGGUAACUUGGUUUAUGUCUUUACAGGGGCCCAAUUAAGUUUUACGAUUUCUUUUUCUUUUCUCUCUCCGGGUUGUGUUGACCUCAGGCUGUUUUCUUUUUAUGGACCUCAAAUCGUUCUCCCUUUUACCUUGUCUAAAAUUUAUAGUGAAGGGACUUGGUUUAGUUAACUAGAUAAUGACACCUUUCUGCAAAGUUGAUAACUGUGCAGAUAACAAGCACCCAUCUGGCAGUGUCUGACCUGACAAUGGGUAAUGUUUUUGCUGUUGUGUAAGGAAUGUAUAUAUUUAUAGAGAGAAUAAAUAGAGAACAAGUGUCUCCUUUCAACCCCUCCCUGAUCCCCCAGCGCUGAAUUUGCUUUUCUCAGAUAAUAAAUUCUGGUUGGAAACCACCCG